UACGGAGGGUGCAAGCGUUAUCCGGAUUCACUGGGUUUAAAGGGUGCGUAGGAGGGCAGGUAAGUCAGCGGUGAAAUCUCUGGGCUUAACCCGGAAACUGCCAUUGAUACUAUCUGUCUUGAAUGCGGUGGGGGUGAGCGGAAUAUGAUCAUGUAGCGGUGAAAUGCUUAGAUAUGACAUAGAACACCGAUUGCGAAGGCAGCUCGCUACACCUGCAUUGACUCUGAGGCACGAAAGCGUGGGGAUCAAACAGG
rnacentral:rRNA from 1 species